GUUUUAUUAGGUGAGGAGUCGCCAUCUACUGGCUCCAAAUAAUAUUCCAGCUGCUGCAGAAUAUUCACAAUGAAACCAUGAAACCACAUGCUUCUUCAGAGUCAUCCAUUUUACAUGAAUCUUAAAUUAUAUACAUGAAAUAAAUGUAUUAUAACAUAGGCAACAUUUCAUUUACAUAGGGAAAAAUAGUAUGAUGUGCAAAUCUUCUUAAGGAAGUACUUAAGAUCAUACAAAGUGUGAUUGAUUAUGAAUUACAAUGUAAUUUUAUAUAAGUUGUGUACUAUAUAUAGGUUAUUAC